UACGUAGGGUGCGAGCGUUGUCCGGAAUUAUUGGGUUUAAAGGGUGCGUAGGCGGCUUUUUAAGUCAGGGGUGAAAACUUGCGGCUCAACCGUAAGCUUGCCUUUGAUACUGAGGAGCUUGAAUACACUUGAGGUAGGCGGAAUGUGACAAGUAGCGGUGAAAUGCAUAGAUAUGUCACAGAACACCAAUUGCGAAGGCAGCUUACUAAAGUGAGAUUGACGCUGAGGCACGAAAGCGUGGGGAUCAAACAGG
rnacentral:rRNA from 1 species